GAUGAACGCUGGCGGCGCGCUUAACACAUGCAAGUUGAACGGAACUUUACGAGAAACUUGUUUCUUGUAUUGUUUAGUAGCGGACGGGUGAGUAACAUGUGAGCAACCUACCUUUUUGAGGGGGACAACAGUUGGAAACGACUGCUAAUACCGCAUAAUGUGCACGAUCGGCAUCGAUUGUGUACCAAAGGAGUAAUCCGCAAAAAGAUGGGCUCGCACCUGAUUAGAUAGUUGGUGAGGUAAUGGCUCACCAAGUCUACGUUCAGUAGCCGGACUGAGAGGUUGAACGGCCACAUUGGGACUGAGACACGGCCCAGACUCCUACGGGAGGCAGCAGUGGGGAAUAUUGGUCAAUGGGGGAAACCCUGAACCAGCGACGCCGCGUGAGGGAAGACGGUUUUCGGAUUGUAAACCUCUGUCUUUAGGGAAGAGAACGGACUGUACCUAAAGAGGAAGCCACGGCUAACUACGUGCCAGCCGCCGCCGUAA
rnacentral:rRNA from 1 species